rnacentral:Y_RNA from 1 species
GGCUUAUCUGAGUGCAGUGGUGUUUAUAGCUAAUUGAUCACAACCAGUUACAGAUUUCUUUGUUCCUCCUCCAUUCCCACCAGUUCACUUGACUAGUCUUUA